rnacentral:rRNA from 1 species
GACGAACGCUGGCGGCGUGCUUAACACAUGCAAGUCGAACGAAGUGGCGAACGGGUGAGUAAUACGUGGGUAACCUGCCCUCCUUUUUGGGAUAAGCCUUGGAAACGGGGUCUAAUACCGCAUACAGGGGGAUGGGCUCGCGGCCUAUCAGCUUGUUGGUGGGGGGAUGGCUGACCAAGGCGGUGACGGGUAGCCUGCCGGAGAGGGUGACCGGCCACAGUGGGACUGAGAUACGGUCCAGACUCCUACGGGAGGCAGCAGUGGGGUCUAUUGAAGAAUGGGCGAAAGCCGGAUGCAUCGACGCUGCGGGAACUAAGAAGGCUUUCGAGUCGUAAAGUUCUUUCGGUACCAUAAGAAAAAGCCCCGGCUAACUACGUGCCAGCAGCCGCGGUAAUAC